AUAUCAAUAAGCGGAGGAAAAGAAACCAACAGGGAUUGCCCCAGUAACGGCGAGUGAAGCGGCAACAGCUCAAAUUUGAAAUCUGGCCCCUCCGGGUCCGAGUUGUAAUUUGUAGAGGAUGCUUUUGGUGAGGUGCCGCCCGAGUUCCCUGGAACGGGACGCCACAGAGGGUGAGAGCCCCGUCUGGCUGGCCACCGAGCCUCUGUAAAGCUCCUUCGACGAGUCGAGUAGUUUGGGAAUGCUGCUCAAAAUGGGAGGUAUAUGUCUUCUAAAGCUAAAUAUUGGCCAGAGACCGAUAGCGCACAAGUAGAGUGAUCGAAAGAUGAAAAGCACCUUGAAAAGAGGGUUAAACAGUAC
rnacentral:rRNA from 1 species